GAAGAGAGGGCAGCUAUGAAGAGGAUGAAGAAUGAAAAGGCAGUUGGUCCAGAUGACAUUCUAGUGGAAGCAUGGAAAUGUUAGGAGAGAUGACAGUGCAUUUUCUCACCAGAUUGUUUAAUAAAAUCGUGGAAAGUGAGAGGAUAUCUGAGGAGUGGAGACAAAGUGUGUUGGUUCUAUAUUUA